rnacentral:rRNA from 1 species
UAGGGAAUCUUGCGCAAUGGGCGAAAGCCUGACGCAGCCAUGCCGCGUGAAUGAUGAAGGUCUUAGGAUUGUAAAAUUCUUUCACCGGGGAAGAUAAUGACGGUACCCGGAGAAGAAGCCCCGGCUAACUUCGUGCCAGCAGCCGCGGUAAUACGAAGGGGGCUAGCGUUGCUCGGAAUUACUGGGCGUAAAGGGCGCGUAGGCGGACAGUUUAGUCAGAGGUGAAAGCCCAGGGCUCAACCUUGGAAUUGCCUUUGAUACUGGCUGUCUUGAGUUCGGGAGAGGUGAGUGGAAUGCCGAGUGUAGAGGUGAAAUUCGUAGAUAUUCGGCGGAACACCAGUGGCGAAGGCGACUCACUGGCCCGAUACUGACGCUGAGGCGCGAAAGCGUGGGGAGCAAACAGGAUUAGAUACCCUGGUAGUCCACGCUGUAAACGAUGAGUGCUAGUUGUCGGCAUGCAUGCAUGUCGGUGACGCAGCUAACGCAUUAAGCACUCCGCCUGGGGAGUACGGUCGCAAGAUUAA